AUUGAGAACACGAUUCAUUUGCGCCGGCACAAUGCUCUGACCGAGAAAGAAUUGAAGUUUCCACUUGGAAGAAAGAUUCACAUCAAAUUGACUGGUCAAGUAAAUGGGACACUGACUAACCAUACGAUGAGACUGUUUUGAUGAGGAAUUUAAAGAUUAU